rnacentral:rRNA from 1 species
UGGGGAAUAUUGGACAAUGGGGGGAACCCUGAUCCAGCCAUGCCGCGUGUGUGAAGAAGGCCUUUUGGUUGUAAAGCACUUUAAGCGAGGAGGAGGCUACCGAGAUUAAUACUCUUGGAUAGUGGACGUUACUCGCAGAAUAAGCACCGGCUAACUCUGUGCCAGCAGCCGCGGUAAUACAGAGGGUGCAAGCGUUAAUCGGAUUUACUGGGCGUAAAGCGCGCGUAGGUGGCCAAUUAAGUCAAAUGUGAAAUCCCCGAGCUUAACUUGGGAAUUGCAUUCGAUACUGGUUGGCUAGAGUAUGGGAGAGGAUGGUAGAAUUCCAGGUGUAGCGGUGAAAUGCGUAGAGAUCUGGAGGAAUACCGAUGGCGAAGGCAGCCAUCUGGCCUAAUACUGACACUGAGGUGGGAAAGCAUGGGGAGCAAACAGGAUUAUAUACCCUGGGUGUCCCUGCGGUAAACAAUGUCUCCUUUAAAGCGGUGGCCCCUUAGAGGCUUUUGGCCCACCUCACGCGAUAAGUGGAACCCCGGUGGACCACUAGGCCA